UGUGUGGCUAGGCCGGGGGGUUGGGCGUCCCCUGUAACCCGAAAUCGUCCUCAUGCGGGGGCCGAAAACUUGGGGGCGGCAUGGUUCCCAUGCCGUCACUCCCAAACUCUGCAAUGAUAUCUCGUCCCAUGGGGUUUGAUGGUGGAGGAGCUCCCUCUGGAGGGAGGGAGUAACCUCCUUUGCUCGCCGAACCCCGUCAGGCCCGGAAGGGAGCAGCGGUAGGCGGGACAUCAACGCUCAUGGGGUAACGGGGUAGAGCAGAGGUUUGGGGCAAAGUGGCGGCAUGAGGAACCGUGCCCACCCCAAGGAAGCCACACA
rnacentral:SRP_RNA from 1 species